CAUGCAGUCGAGCGAUGACUCCCUUCAGAGUGAAUUAUCGGCGAACAGGGUGAGGUAACACCUGGGUAAGCUGCCUUAUAUAGGGGGAUAGCCUUCCGAAAGGAAGAUUAAUACCGCAUGAAAUGUUUUUAUCGCAUGGUAGAAACAUCAGAGGAGUAAUCCGCUAUAACAUGGAACCGCGGCGCAUUAGCUAUUUGGUGAGGUAACGGCCCACCAAGGCGACCAUGCUUAGCCGACCUGAGAGGGUGAUCGGACACAUUGGAACUGAGACACCGUCCAGACUCCUACGGUAGGCAACAUUGCGGAAUAUUGCACAGUGUGAUAAACCCUGACCCAGCGACGCCUCGUGAAUGAAGAAGGCCUUAGCGUUGUAAAGUUCUGUUUUCUGGGACGAUCAUGACGGUACCACAGGAGGAAGCCACGGCUAACUACGUGCCAGCAUACGCAGUAAUACAUAGGUGGCAAGCAUUAUCCGGAUUUACUGGGCGUAAAGGAUGCUUAUGCGGAUGUUUAAGUGAGAUGUGAAAUACCCGAGCUCAGCUUGGGUGCUGCUUUUCAAACUGGAUAUCUAGACUGCAGGAGAGGAAAGCGGUAUUCCUAGUGUAGCGGAGAAAUGCGUAGAUAUUAGGAAGAACACCAGUGGAGAAGGCGGCUUUGUGGACUGUAACCGACGCUGAGGCAUGAAAGCGUGGGGAGCAAACAGGAUUAGACCCCGUGGUACUCCACGCCGUAAACGAUGAAUACGAGGUGUGGGAGGUAUCGACUCGUUCUGUGCCGCAGUCAACACAAUAAGUAUUCCGCAUGGGGAGUACGAUCGCAAGAUUACAACUCAAAGGAAUUGGCGGGGGCCCGCACAAGCAGCGGAGCAUGUGGUUUAAUUCGAAGCAACGAGACGAACCUUACCUAGACUUGACAUCUCCUGAAUUACCAUUAAUCGGGGACGCCCUUCGGCGCAGGAAGCCAGGUGGUCCAUGGUUGUCUUCAGCUCGUGUCGUGAGAUGUUGGGUUAAUGUCCCGCAAGGAGCGCAACCUUUAUCUUUAGUUGCUGCCAUUAAGUUGACCACUCUAGUGAGACUGCCACGGUUAACGUGGAGGAAGGUGGGGAUGACGUCAAAUCAUCAUGCCCCUUAUGUCUAGGGCCACACACGUGCCACAAUGGGGAAUACAAAUAGAUCCAAUCCCGCGAGGGUGGAGCCAACCUAUAAAAUUCAUCCCAGUUCGGAUUGUAGUCUGAAACUCGACUACAUGAAGCCGGAGUUGCUAGUAAUCGCGAAUCAGCAUGUCGCGGGGAAUACGUUCCCGGUCCUUGUACACCCCGCCCGUCACCCCAUGAGAGCUGGUAACACCCGAAGUCCGUGAGUACCCUAAGAGCCAGCG
rnacentral:rRNA from 1 species